rnacentral:rRNA from 1 species
AAACUUUUCAGCUAGAGUAUGAUAGAGGAAAGCAGAAUUUCUAGUGUAGAGGUGAAAUUCGUAGAUAUUAGAAAGAAUACCAAUUGCGAAGGCAGCUUUCUGGAUCAUUACUGACACUGAGGAACGAAAGCAUGGGUAGCGAAGAGGAUUAGAUACCCUCGUAGUCCAUGCCGUAAACGAUGUGUGUUAGACGUUGGAAAUUUAUUUUCAGUGUCGCAGUGAAAGCGAUAAACACACCGCCUGGGGAGUACGACCGCAAGGUUAAAACUCAAAUGAAUUGACGGGGACCCGCACAAGUAGUGGAGCAUGUGGUUUAAUUCGAAGAUACGCGCAGAACCUUACCAACACUUGACAUGUUCGUCGCGACUUUAAGAGAUUAGAGUUUUCGGUUCGGCCGGACGAAACACAGGUGCUGCAUGGCUGUCGUCAGCUCGUGUCGUGAGAUGUUGGGUUAAGUCCCGCAACGAGCGCAACCCUCACUUUUAGUUGCCAUCAUUAAGUUGGGCACUCUGAAAGAACUGCCAGUGAUAAGCUGGAGGAAGGUGGGGAUGACGUCAAGUCCUCAUGGCCCUUACGUGUUGGGCUACACACGUGCUACAAUGGUAUCUACAACAGGAAGCAAAACGGCGACGUUAAGCAAAUCCUUAAAAGAUACCUCAGUUCGGAUUGCACUCUGCAACUCGAGUGCAUGAAGCUGGAAUUACUAGUAAUCGUGGAUCAGCGUGCCACGGUGAAUGCGUUCCCGGGUCUUGUACACACCGCCCGUCACACCAUGGGAGUUGGUUCUACCUUAAGGCAAGGUUUAAAACCCUUGACCACGGUAUAGUCAGCGACUGGGGUGAAGUCGUAACAAGGUAGCCGUAGGGGAACCUGCGGCUG